UCCUCCAUUCUGCCGCCCAGCUCCCUGAAACCAACAAAUAUCGAAUAUACUUGCUUCUCCGCACCCAAGGCCUGGACUGAGCAGGCUCAGCGCUAUGGGAUCGCAGCAGGAGUACCCGGUCCUUGCGUGGUCACCAGCUGCAGCCUCUUUCUUCGCUAUUUGCUGGGUUAAAACGCUUCUCUCUCACUUCCCUCCUUUUCGCCCUGGAUCUGAGAAAUAAAUCCAAGUCUCCUACUGCAUCAGCCCUCCCCAUCGCUGCUAUCUCACUUCUCCUUACCGAAGAUAAUCUCUUUGUUUCCUGAAGGAAACCGUAAUAUUCAGACAUUUGAGCGAAUCCAGUGUUUACAAGAUGAGAAAUGCCACUGCCAGCGUUCUUCUGGAGAGAAAGGCUGAAAUGGAGGACCGACGCGCCUUCCUUAUAAGCUCAUUGGACCCUGAGCCAGCACCGACUUGGUAGAAAAAGCAACSACGAAGCCAGAGAGAAAGAGAGAGCCAGAGGAGGGAAGAGAGCGCCAGACUGAGAUGAAAGGGAACCACGCAGAGAAACGCUGGGAAAGGAACCAGACGGCAGGUCCCCCGAACAAACGUGGCAGAGGGCAUGACAAGCACUCACUGGCUCGCGGACAGAGGUUUAUAUAUUUUUAUUUUUAAAGUCUCAUUUUGGG